rnacentral:misc_RNA from 1 species
GCAAACUUGGUCAUUUAGAGGAAGUAAAAGUCGUAACAAGGUCUCCGUUGGUGAACCAGCGGAGGGAUCAUUAUUGAGUGUAAAAACUCCCAAACCCGUGUGAACCUUACCUUUUUGUUGCUUCGGCGGGAUCGCCCCGGGCUCUGCCCCGGAUCAGGCGCCCGCCGGGGGACCUAAACUCUUGUAUCUUUAGUGGUAUCUCUGAGUAUGAUUUAUUAAAAUAAUCAAAACUUUCAACAACGGAUCUCUUGGUUCUGGCAUCGAUGAAGAACGCAGC